rnacentral:rRNA from 1 species
UGGGGAAUAUUGGACAAUGGGCGAAAGCCUGACCCAGCAACGCCGCGUGAAGGAUGAAGUAUUUCGGUAUGUAAACUUCGAAAGAAUAGGAAGAAUAAAUGACGGUACUAUUUAUAAGGUCCGGCUAACUACGUGCCAGCAGCCGCGGUAAUACGUAGGGACCAAGCGUUGUUCGGAUUUACUGGGCGUAAAGGGCGCGUAGGCGGCAAUUCAAGUCAUCUGUGAAAUCUCCGGGCUUAACUCGGAACGGUCAGAUGAUACUGCUUUGCUAGAGUGCAGAAGGGGCAAUCGGAAUUCUUGGUGUAGCGGUGAAAUGCGUAGAUAUCAAGAGGAACACCUGAGGUGAAGACGGGUUGCUGGGCUGACACUGACGCUGAGGCGCGAAAGCCAGGGGAGCAAACGGGAUUAGAUACCCUGGUAGUCCCUGAGCGGGCUGGCAAGGCGCAU